AACUAUUAAAAUUUUGAAAAUAUAGUUAAAACUUACUCUUAAAGUUGUUUCCGUAGGAGGAAUCGAUGCUUUUGUAAGACAGACUUGAAUUUGUUGUUCUUCCAGAAUUUGUAUCCAUUCGCCCGUUAGAAUACUACAUUUCAUUAAAUUAUAUUUAAUUUUAAAUAUACAAGAAUAUAACAUAUUUCAAAACUAAUAUUUAUUUAAAAUAAUAUAAAUAGUUAUUAUAAAAGAUUAAAUUUAAUUUAAGACACGUAUGGUAUCAAAUAUAUUUGUAAUUAUGACCAACACAAAAAGGUUGACUAGGCAAUUUAAUUUCACAUAAAGAUUACCAACUCUUUAGCUGCAUUAUAAUCAAAUUUCAAAUAGUUAACUAGUAAGCUGUUAAAAAAAACUUAACUAAUAUAUGAAUUCAGUAAGCUCAGUAACCCAUUCUCUUAGGUUUGGAACCACUCUAUUUUUAAUAAAUGUCUAUGUUCAUUGGUAUCAUUUCGUUUGGUUGAUUGGUUAGUUUUUAUAUUUUAAUUAUGAUGCGAAUAAAGUGUUAACAUACAUAAAAGAAGUAGUGCGCUUUAUUUGAAACUUAUCUAGAUUUUAGAGGAAAAAAAACAGAUAUGCAUAUUUAUGAUAAAGAAGGAAUACUGAUCUUUUGAAAAUUGACAAGAACUUAAAUUAAAUAUAUAGAUACGGUCCUGAUUAUUUAAUAUUUUCUGAAUGAACUAUGGUUUCUAUGAAUAUUAUGUUAUCAUUUAGUCAGCAUCGUAAACUAAAAUUUUAAGAUUUACGCUUCUAUAUAUCCAACAAAAUUAUUACUUUAGCAAUUUACUUAAAUUAAACUAACAAUUGUUUUAGAAUUUGGCUUUUUCAUAAACAAACUAUUACUUUAGCAAUUCAGUUAAAUUAAACUAACAAUAACCAUUUUGGUAAUUUAUAUUAAAUAAACUAUAAUUUUAAACACUAUAUUGUAAGUAAAUAUCAUUUCUUUGUUAACCUUCAAUUAAUUGGAUAACGAAAUACACUUAUUAGUUUGUAGUUAUUUUAUUUUAAGAUUUAUUAUGUGGAUUAAUUAAUUAUUUUAAAUGUAACGUAAUCAAUUUAAAUCAACAAACUUACAUAUUUUGUGAAUAUGAAUAAGUCACUUUGAAUGUUGUGUGAAUGAAUGCUUAGUCAAGUGAACUCACGUUCCUUUUUUUUCUGAUAUGAUGAAAUUGUAAACUGAUUUGGUAGAUAUAUAUAACAGUUUUUCAGAAAGAAUAACUGAUUGGUAACCAUGUGCGGUUUCCGGUACGGCUUUUUGAAAUCCGCUUUUUGUUAAUUCACCAAUCACUACCAAAGUUGUGUUAGAGAGACACGUCACUAAGUAAAUUAAGGAAAACUGUUAAUUCACCGAUCACUAAGGCAGUGAUCUGUCUCCUGAGAGAGACACGUCAUUAAGUAAAUUAAGGGUAGCCUUUCACGUGUCCUCUUCGUUUUUUAUAUUUCUGUUUCGAUUUUAUAUGGGCCAUUAUGAUUAAAUUAGUUGGACUUGGCCUUUAGUUAUUUUAUUUGUUAAAAAUCAAAGCCCAACCCAAAUGAAAGGAAAGCAGGUAGGAUUCGUUCAUCGUCUUCGUCAAUCUGACUUUGGCAUCCAGGGUUCAUCUUCAAACGAAUCUAUCGCCAUUAAUGGAGUUUCAGGAGGUUGUGUGAGGCGAAUCUUCAUGCAGAAUAUUUGGGUCGAGCUUCGUUUGUGUCGUUUCGUUUGAGAUUCUUCUCUUCCAUAACGUUACGGGAUUCAACGCCAUUAAGAACUAUCUUUAAUUCUUCAAUCCACAACCAGCACGAUUAAUCAUUUAAUGCUUUGUAUUUCUCUUCCAGACGGUGUAUAUCCACCUAUAAAAGGUCGUCUUCAUUCACUGGACAUCGUCCUCACAAUUCCUAAAAACACUAGAAACUUAUUUUAUCGGGAUUGUAUCGUCUUCAACCCUCAAAUUUUGUUUGCAUUGACAGUGAGUUUCCGUUAUUGAUUUGGCAACGGAGCACGAGAAUAUAGAGAUCGAAUUCUUCUUCUCGGUUUGAAUAUCUUACAAACUAUUAUUCUGAUGUCUCAGAGGUACUGAUAAAGAAGAGGGCCAGAGGUUUCUCACAGUGGUAAAGAAAGAUGAAGAUGUGAACAAGGCCGGCUUAGAUAGGGGGGCGAGCGGUGCGACCGUCCCGGGUCCAAUCCGUUGUCCCCCUAUUUCUUAAUAGAUAAGAGCCCGAUUAUUUUAAAAAAUACAUGUAUUUUUAUAUUAAAAAUAAGAAAAGAGAUCUAAAUUUUUUUUAUAUGAAAGUUUUUUUUAUUUCCAUAGAUUUAUUUUUAAAAAUACUACUGGUAUUUUGAAAAAAAACAUAUAUCUAUCAGAUUUUUUAAACAAAAAUAAUAGUUUAGAAAUUAAUUUUUUUUUUGCCCUAAGGCCCAUGACACCGCCGGUCCUGGAUGUGAAAGUGAUUGUAGCUGGUGAUGAUGAUUGGUUGCCUCAGCCGCCAAAGGUUGUCUCCGAUAAAAGCAAAGAGUCCGGUGAAGAUUCUACCAUUAAAGCUUUGAGGUAGUUGUGUAUGUCUCGAGUAUUUUUUUUCAUCUAUGUGCUGCCAGUUGCUAUUAGAAGCUACGGUUUGAACACUGCUACCUUUAAUUUUGUAGUGAGCCUUUCUUGAUGAUAUCAUCCAAAGAGUUGCUUUGUUACACUUUGAUUCUUAAAUUUUGAAUUGAAAAUAUGAAAAGUAUUAGAAACUACGGUUUCAUAUGUGUGUGCUUCAUAUGCUGCCAUUAGAUGUUACUGUUUUUUCCUUCAACAUUAUAUAUCUCUUGGCCGAUUUCACUUUCACAUGAAGCGAUAAGUUUGAACACUGCUAACUGUUAUUUGUUAAUUCAUAUGUGAUGAUAUCACCCAAAGAGUCUCUAUUAUUACGCUUUGAUUCUUAAGUUCUGAAUGGAAACAUGCACUGCAAGUGGAAGAAGAUGGAGCUCAUGUCUUUCACAAAAACUGUAGUAGAUGUGGUGCAGGAAGCAGAGGCAAGUAAAACUCACUGAAUGUAGAACUGCUGUUGGUGCUUUUGGAGGCGGAGAAUAUACUAAUGGAGUGUAUGCAACAGCGCUUAUGGUGGUUAAAGCUGGGAGCAGCGACCGUCCUGCCAUUCCAGGCUUAAACAGCCCACCUUUUCUUCCUGCUGAGGGUGAUCAUCCAUGUGUCAUGCGAAGAAGCCUUACAAAAUACAAGUCUUUGUUUCCCGCAAUCGAUUUUUCAACUAUUGUAGGUGACAAUGAUAUUUUGUGGAAGCCCAGUCCAAGAGAGACCUCAGACGAAGUUGCAGCUAGAGGUGUAGAGUUCGUUAACUGGUGAGUUCCAUGGAUAUUAAAUACAUUUUUGUUCCUUUUUAGUUACUAAUUAUUUUCCCAUUGACUUCAUGCAUGGUGUCUUGAGUUAUUUUGGGGAGAAUUGUGUCGACGACAUAAAGAAAAAGUUGUCUAUACAGUAAGAGACCUUACCACACAAACCUGAAGAAAUGCAUUAAUUGUUUACUAAUGAAACUAUGUAACAUUUUUUCAGCUUCGAAAAAAAUUAUGGUAGAGUAGAGGAUCAAUAUUAUAGUCUCUAAGACAUAUGCAUUAGACAUGCAUAAAACUUUUCUUAUUUUUAAUUGAUACUUUUUUUCCACGA